rnacentral:tRNA from 1 species
GGGGAUGGAGCUCAGUUGGUAUAGUGCCUGCCUAGCAAACAUAAAGCUCUGAGUUCCAUUCCCAGUAACCCCA